rnacentral:rRNA from 1 species
UACGAAGGGGGCAAGCGUUGUUCGGAAUUACUGGGCGUAAAGGGCGCGUAGGCGGCCCUUAAAGUCAGGCGUGAAAGCCCCGGGCUCAACCUGGGAAUUGCGCUUGAUACUUUAGGGCUUGAGUACGGGAGAGGAGAGUGGAAUUCCCAGUGUAGAGGUGAAAUUCGUAGAUAUUGGGAAGAACACCGGUGGCGAAGGCGGCUCUCUGGACCGUAACUGACGCUGAGGCGCGAAAGCGUGGGGAGCAAACAGG